ensembl:snRNA U6 U6 spliceosomal RNA
GUGCUCGCUUCGGCAGCACAUAUACUAAAAUUGAAACGAUCCAGAAAAGAUUAGCAUGUCCCUGCGCAAGGAUGAAAUUCAGACUGUUAAAGCAACAUACGGGGUGC